rnacentral:rRNA from 1 species
GACGAACGCUGGCGGCGUGCUUAACACAUGCAAGUCGAACGAAGAGCGAUGGAAGCUUGCUUCUAUCAAUCUUAGUGGCGAACGGGUGAGUAACGCGUAAUCAACCUGCCCUUCAGAGGGGGACAACAGUUGGAAACGACUGCUAAUACCGCAUACGAUCUAAACUCGGCAUCGAGGAUAGAUGAAAGGUGGCCUCUACAUGUAAGCUAUCACUGAAGGAGGGGAUUGCGUCUGAUUAGCUAGUUGGAGGGGUAACGGCCCACCAAGGCGAUGAUCAGUAGCCGGUCUGAGAGGAUGAACGGCCACAUUGGGACUGAGACACGGCCCAGACUCCUACGGGAGGCAGCAGUGGGGAAUCUUCCGCAAUGGACGAAAGUCUGACGGAGCAACGCCGCGUGAGUGAUGACGGCCUUCGGGUUGUAAAGCUCGGUUAAUCGGGACGAAAGGCCUUCUUGCGAAUAGUGAGAAGGAUUGACGGUACCGGAAUAGAAAGCUACGGCUAACUACGUG